rnacentral:rRNA from 1 species
UCGUCAGCUCGUGUCGUGAGAUGUUGGGUUAAGUCCCGCAACGAGCGCAACCCUUGUCCCUAGUUGCUACGCAAGAGCACUCUAGGGAGACUGCCGGUGACAAACCGGAGGAAGGUGGGGAUGACGUCAAGUCCUCAUGGCCCUUAUGGGUAGGGCUUCACACGUCAUACAAUGGUCGGAACAGAGGGUCGCCAACCCGCGAGGGGGAGCCAAUCCCAGAAAACCGAUCGUAGUCCGGAUUGCACUCUGCAACUCGAGUGCGUGAAGCUGGAAUCGCUAGUAAUCGCGGAUCAGCAUGCCGCGGUGAAUACGUUCCCGGGUCUUGUACACACCGCCCGUCACACCAUGGGAGUGGGUUUUACCAGAAGUGGCUAGUCUAACCGCAAGGAGGACGGUCACCACGGUAGGAUUCAUGACUGGGGUGAAGUCGUAACAAGGUAGCCGUA